CUCGGUGAGGCGACGCAAACACGUUGCUUCAGAACUGGCUAAGAGAUGCGCAUGGAGGAGGUUGGCUAGCUGAUUCAGCAUGAUUAGCACCCUUGGAAGCAGAAAGAGUUUUCACGGUGCCAUAUUGUCGGUGGUUUAAAGAGGAGAGAAUAAAGUUGCAUCAGUCGAAGCUCUCUGCGU